rnacentral:rRNA from 1 species
GGUGAGUAACACGUGGGUGAUCUGCCCUGCACUCUGGGAUAAGCCUGGGAAACUGGGUCUAAUACCGGAUAUGACCUCGGGAUGCAUGUCCUGGGGUGGAAAGUUUUUCGGUGCAGGAUGAGCCCGCGGCCUAUCAGCUUGUUGGUGGGGUAAUGGCCUACCAAGGCGACGACGGGUAGCCGGCCUGAGAGGGCGACCGGCCACACUGGGACUGAGACACGGCCCAGACUCCUACGGGAGGCAGCAGUGGGGAAUAUUGCACAAUGGGCGCAAGCCUGAUGCAGCGACGCCGCGUGAGGGAUGACGGCCUUCGGGUUGUAAACCUCUUUCACCCAUGACGAAGCGCAAAGUGACGGUAGUGGGAAAAAGAAGCACCGGCCAACUACGUGCCAGCAGCCGCGGGUAAUACGUAGGGUGCGAGCGUUGUCCGGAAUUUACUGGGGCGUAAAGAAGCUCCGUAGGCGGUUUGCCCCGCCGUCUGUGAAAUCCCCGCAGCUCAACUGGCGGGCUUGCAGGCGAUACGGGCAGACUCCAGUCCUGCAGGGGAACUGGAAUUC